rnacentral:rRNA from 1 species
AUUGAACGCUGGCGGCAUGCCUUACACAUGCAAGUCGAACGGCAGCACGGGAGCAACCCUGGUGGCGAGUGGCGAACGGGUGAGUAAAGUAUCGGAACGUGCCCAGCCGUGGGGGAUGACGUAGCGAAAGUUACGCUAAUACCGCAUACGAUCUAUGGAUGAAAGCGGGGGAUCGCAAGACCUCGCGCGAUUGGAGCGGCCGAUAUCAGAUUAGGUAGUUGGUUGGGUAAAGGCUCACCAAGCCGACGAUCUGUAGCUGGUCUGAGAGGACGACCAGCCACACUGGGACUGAGACACGGCCCAGACUCCUACGGGAGGCAGCAGUGGGGAAUUUUGGACAAUGGGCGAAAGCCUGAUCCAGCCAUGCCGCGUGCAGGAUGAAGGCCUUCGGGUUGCAAACUGCUUUUGUACGGAACGAAAAGGUUUGGGCUAAUAAGCUGAGCUCAUGACGGUACCGUAAGAAUAAGCACCGGCUAACUACGUGCCAGCCGCCGCCGUAA